rnacentral:rRNA from 1 species
UACGUAGGGUGCGAGCGUUGUCCGGAAUUAUUGGGCGUAAAGAGCUCGUAGGCGGUUUGUUGCGUCUAUCGUGAAAACCUGCAGCUUAACUGUGGGCUUGCGGUGGAUACGGGCAGACUUGAGUUCGGUAGGGGAGACUGGAAUUCCUGGUGUAGCGGUGAAAUGCGCAGAUAUCAGGAGGAACACCCGUGGCGAAGGCGGCUCUCUGGGACGGUACUGACGCUGAGACGCGAAAGCGUGGGGAGCAAACAGG